rnacentral:rRNA from 1 species
UACGUAGGGGCUAGCGUUACCCGGAAUUACUGGGCGUAAAGGGUGCGUAGGUGGUUUCUUAAGUCAGAGGUGAAAGGCUACGGCUCAACCGUAGUAAGCCUUUGAAACUGGGAAACUUGAGUGCAGGAGAGGAGAGUGGAAUUCCUAGUGUAGCGGUGAAAUGCGUAGAUAUUAGGAGGAACACCAGUUGCGAAGGCGGCUCUCUGGACUGUAACUGACACUGAGGCACGAAAGCGUGGGGAGCAAACAGGAUUAGAUACCCUGGUAGUCCCUGAGCGGG